ensembl:lncRNA
GUGCUUCUGCAGAGGGAAGAGUGUAAACACUGCUCUGGGGAGCGGAGGAGGCUAUAAGGAAAUGAACAGUAAAGACAGAGAAGCAAGAUGGCAGCGGUGGAAAGGGAGCAGAGACGGCCUUGGUGGUGCAGAGGAGAAUCAGGGAGCCUGCUCUUUGCCUAUGAAGAGUAGAAGACAGUAGUAGCAUCCAGAUGAUUGUGUCCAAACCCAGCAACAACAGACUACACAGCUCCUGACUACUGCCAAAUGCCCACAGGGCCCUCUGUUUGGGUGAGGUGUCCAUACUGAAAACACAUGUGACCAGAUCAAUCAAGAGCAGCAAUGGAAAUACUGCAGUAACGGCGGCCAUGACUGUUCCUUGUUGGGCUCUUCUCAGGUAAGACACGCUUCCUUGAGUGACAUAUCUGCUCCAUAGUUCCCACUAUUCACGAGUUCAUUAGGAGAGAGCAGAGUCAGUCUGCGUUCCUAUGUCCGUAGUGUUCAUCUCCUCUACCCCAUUCCCUUUGGUUUCUAGUGCUUUCCUGUUAAUUAAAGUGGUUGUGGCUACCACGGGUGUUCAUUUAAACGAGGUUAAGCAUUUUGCAAAGGUUAUCUUAGAGGUUGGCACCUGGGGUUACUUGAUGUGGUGCUGGUGUGGAGUACUAGAGGGCUCAGAUGCCGUGUGACUUUUGCGUUCUUGACUGGCCUCCUCCCUCCCAAGUUUCGGUUGAGUGGGGACCAGACUGUAACAGAUUUGGUUUCGGGUGGCAUUUGUUACUUGUUGCUGGCUCACUGUCUCUAUGGGGGAAGUGUCAUGCUAAAGUCUGCAGGGGUAGCAGACUGCGCCCCCCUUUGACACUAUUACUCAUUUCUUGAGUGGAGAAUGUCACCUGGUGUCACUUCCCCCAUUUUUCGAUGUAUUGGAGCUGGCUGCGUCUUUGCUGUCAGUCAAGCAGAAAGUAGAGGCUUCACAGACUCCAGGAUUGGUGUGUGGAGGUGCCAGGCUGUUGGGUUUCUUCUUCCCUGUCUUUUCGAUAUUUAUUUUGCGAUGUGAGACCCUCGACCUGCCUGAUGCUUCAAACAGCCAGGCAGACUCGUUUUGUCCCAGAUUCAUGGUGAGAGACCUCUUAUUUGAAAUGAUUGAGAUUCUUACAGGACCUUUGGGCCCCAGAAGAAUGCAUUAGCAUAAAGACUUGUUGGUUUCGGUUUCUGCCGGCUACCCUGUGACACUAAGGCACAGGGUAAAACACCUCAGUUUUGUUUUUAUGGGUCCCAGGGUCUCCCUGUCUUUCUUCCAACACUUCUUUGCGUGAGGCCAUUUCCCAUUUGCAUUUUCUUUGAUCUUAGAUGUUAGCUCGUGUUUUGGUUAGAAUCGGGAGGGAUCUUUAAUAGAGUGGUGGCCUGUCUCCUCACUGAUUCAGGCUCCCUACACCCCAUGAUGUCAGGUAGCAAAUGGUCUUGUGACCUGUAACCAUGAGGUUACAGUUAACUGGAACAAGGAUGCCUACAGUUUUAUUUAUUUACUUUUUUACAUUAUUUUUCCUCUGCUAGUCACUUAAAACACCUAUGUACUGUUGAGUAUUGCACAUGCUAGCACCGUGUGUGGGAUACUGCAGGCUAAGUCCUCUAACAUGCAAUGGCGAACACCAGCUUCCCUUUCGUUUUGUGACAUGCUUUAGGCCUACCAUGCUAAAGAACACAUUCUAGGACAGGUUGUCCAGGAUAAAGACUUGAUUUGAAAAAAAAAAAUCUAGGGAGAGGUUCUGCUCUGUCUUUUUGUAUUCUGCUCACAUGGGCAUUGUGUCUCAUUUAAAUGCUCUCUGGGACAGGCUUGCUCAGCAAGGCAUGGUCAAAAGCCAACAUACGCCCACCGAGUCGAUGCCUGUGUCUACACUGUGACCCACAGCAUUCACCGUCCUCGUGUCUGAGAACAGAUCUUAAAGUCAGAGUUGCCGUUAGACUCAGUCACAGCUGGUGCCUAGUGAGAGGAGUGUCGUGUCACCUGGUGUCCUGUCCUUCUCCAGCCCAUCAAGCCUUGCUCAACCAUUUCUUCUCAGUGAAGCUUAUGACAAUGGCAUGGUCUAAAAUUGAAAGCAGCAGUCACCAUACUCCCAACAGCCCAGGCCCUUUUUCUUCAUAGAGUUUAUCUUUUGUAUAGAUUUACUGCGUAUGUGUCUAUAUGUUUUGUUUCUUUCUCUCAUCCCUUUUGGAUUAUAAAGUCCACAGAGGCAAGAACUUUAAAAAGAUUUAAUCAUUGCUUCCCAAAUGCCAGUCAAUGAUCUGGCACGGAAUAGAUGCUUGCUCCAUGAAGAUCACUGGUUGAAUAAAUGUAUGUCCAUCACAAUACUGAUUUUAUGAAUAAGGGCAGCACACUCGAGCGUUCUGAAAUACCUUAUGGUGACAGCUAUAGGGUUUUCAGACUGAGCCCAGAUCUUGAUGCCUUUGCCACUGUCAUCACCUAAUUCUGCUGGGGGUUUUCAAGGGAUGUUUCCUGUGUACUUACAAAAAAAUUCCCAUUCUCUUCAGGAAGCGGGAUGGGUACCUGGUGAGCCCUUAGAGGGCAGAGCUAGGUUCAUUCAGCACGGAGACCUCUGUUUUUCUGAUGAUAUGCAGAUUCAGACAGGCCCAGGAAGGUGACCUCUCUACCUUUCUCUUGCCUAGUGUGUCCCUGUCCUCAGUGCUGUUUACAGCUCCAUGUACCACAGUGAUGGGGAUAUCCUGGUUGUUUUUAACAUCUUUGUUUUUAUCACUCAUGCUGUGUGUGUAAAUUUCUAAAGCAGUUUGUGUCUUUGCUUUUGGAAUCCGAGUGAUGCGCAUGGAUACUGUAGUAUGUGCAAAGCGUGUCAUUGUCCCAGUCACAAGAUCUUCACAGAUGUCAAGCCUAACUUGUCUAAGUUGUCUCUAGGCUACAGUCAAGAACUCAUUUUCCUAAGAGUUUACGAAUUCCCUGAGAGAAUUCAGUGGGCAAGAGAGACAGAAGCUGAGAAACAGGAGUCCCCAUAGUUGGGGUACCUGGCGAGACUCCCUUUCGGGCCAGGCUCUGAGUAGCUGGCCAAUGAGACUGAAUGAGUACCUGCUCUGUGUCCUCAAUUUCCUCUUAGUAUCAUCUCUCUGUAGCUUUUAGGAGUUAGGCAAAGAGAGAGCUUUUGGUCUGAAGGAACUUCCUCAGCUAGUCUAAGCUGAAGGGAUGGAGGAGACCCUAGAAACAUCACUCAGCACAAAAUUAGAAUGAGCCGAUGACAGUAAGGGCUAUAACUGGCUCAACAAUGUAGUCUGCACUCAAGUUAAAAGGCUGGCUCGGAGCUGUGCACAGUGACUCAUGACUGUAAUCCUAGCUGAAGCAGGAGGCUCACAAGAAGUUUGAGGGCGGUUUGGACUGCAUAAUGAACUCCAGGUCAGCCUAGGCUCAAAGCAAUAUCCUAUCUCAAAAACGAACAAACAAACAAACACAAUAUAACAAAAGAGGCUGGCUCAGUUGAGUCAACAGUCUUAGAUAAACCAUCUCUAAACCUAUUUCUGACAUCUCAGUGCUUCAGGUCACCUGCUUAGUUAGACUCCCGCUUCCUGCCUGGGAGUGACAGCAAGAUUCUGACAUCUUCAGCAUUCAUGAAGUACCAUCCUUCCUCAUUGCUCCAUCAGCUUGCAGCGCUGGUGGUCGUGCCUUGGGAUCCAGAGAGAUUUGUGCUAUCCUCUUCAGAGAACACAUUACAUGUCAGGGAGGGGAGUGAAUUGUGAGGAAGACAGAGUUCAGGGAUUCCAAACUUCCCCUGAAGCUGUUCACUCAGCCCUUAUUUUAGAUAGUCCCCUCACCCUUAAUUCAGAGACCCUGGCACCUCCAGGGGCUCCAGGCAAUGAUCCUGAGCGUGUUAAAGAUUCUGUGGUGUUGAGUUAAUUCUCAGAUGUGUCCACUGUCCAAGCGAGAUUCGGUUCUCUCAGCUGUCCAGUUACUUAGGGGUUAUCUAUCUUGCUCAGGCUCCUGCAUUAAGCUACCUUGACUCUUUUAUUUAUUUAUUUUUUUUGUCUUCUGUUCCACCAUUCUGAGGAUUUGUUAUUGAAGGCACAGUUUUAAGGCGUGAAAGAUAUGAGCGUCUGAAAUUUGCCACCUCAUCCUGGACCCUCUGAAGAAGUCAGAUCUUUUUUCUCUAGGACCUUCUUGAUAUUUUUCCAGGAGACUCAUCUGUUGAUUGGGGGCAGGUGGGGAGAAUGACAUUUUCAACCUGGUGUAAGUGAGUUAUACCUGAUCGUUUAAUCUGUCACUUUAAACAACGCCAUGUCUCUCUAGGAAAUAAAGCUAGAUUAAUGUUCUCUGAGGACUUCUUUCUGCUUCUAUGUUUCUACUUUAUAUAACAUUGAUACUUCUUGAUAAGCAAGUUUGAGUGAGGGACUUUGGGUUCCAUACUGUCUGGAAGCAUGUUUGUGUUUUUCUGGCUGCUGUUCGCCUGGCUGCAAAGCAAGUUGAAGGGUAACUGGUACCCUGCUCUGACUUGCUCAGAAUCUGUUCAUACGGCUUUCACUGGCCAUAAUCUCUGGGGUCUCCACCAUUUUCUCCAGUUAAUCCAUUUGUCUACAAGUCUACCCCAGCCUCUGAAGUGAUGUUAUUGCUAAUGUGAAAUCAGUGGGUGGUCUGUCAGAUUUAGACUCCUCCCUGAUACUCCAGGGGAAGGGGCGGUUGCUUUAGAAGCAGAAUUGGAGAUAUUCUCUCCGUACUCAGUGUCCUAAUUGUGUGGGCCACACACAGUUUGGAUCUGAGUAUUUUGCAGAGAGCUCAGUAGGGCGUAGGCAACAGGCAGGCUGUGCUGUUUCGCGUGUUCCUCUCUACGUAUCUCCUCUACUGUGGAUGGAAGCCUGGAGUACUGGUAACUGGAACCCACACAGUAACAGUAUUGCUCUCCUGCUGCCCCAACAUUUUCCCCUUUGUAAACAUCAGGAGAAUGGAUAUUCCUUUAACCUCCAGGAUCAUAUCUACUGGUGAUCUCGGAGCAGAAAGCCUAACUGGCUGUUUGCCCUUAUGGCCUUGGCCUCUGUGUUUCUAUCUCUGACAAUGAGAACCUUGAUGUGGAUAUAAUAGAGUUUGCAAGACUGUCUUUCCAAACAGUACAAUAAUAUUUUUCAGCGUAUCUGUUCGUAUUUCAGAGGUUGGAUAUUAGAUAAUUUUCUCUUUGUACUCUUUUUCAUAAAAUAUCUUCAGCUCCCCCGACCCCUAUAAAAACAUGGACACAUAUGUCUGGUGUAUUCAAAAGAGAGGGGUAAGUAAAAAGAUUUCCAAGUGCUAUUUGACUCAGCCCUGGUGGGAUAACAUGGAUGUAGUUUUAAAAGAAUUAAGCUGUAUCCCAGGGGUUGGGGAUUUAGCUCAGUGGUAGAGCGCUUGCCUAGCAAACGCAAGGCCCUGGGUUCGGUCCCCAGCUCCGAAAAAAAAAAAAAAAAAAAAAAAAAGAAGAAGAAGAAGCUGUAUCCCAUGAAACACUUGGACAAUGCAUUGGAGUAGGGAUUCUAACUACACAAUCUGAGACAGCCAUAGGCUUCAGAGUGGAAGUUAACUACCUGAGUAUUGCCUGUGAAGGAGGAUCAUUAUUUAACACUCUCUAUUAUAUGAACUUUAGAUAUUUUCAUCCCUCAUCCCACUCUCCUAUCUCCCCUCCCGAUGAGACCUUCACAUCAAACAUGUGAGUUUUGUAUGUUGUCUACUGAAAUUAGGGGUUCGUGCCCCUGCAUGAAUGGGAGGUUGUUUACUGGAGCAUGGGCAAUGUGUCAAUGAUAUUCCCUCCUCCAGCAACUAUUAACUGCCGAGAUGCACAUCUCUGCAAUGAGUCAGAGGUGCUGUGGCUUUGUCAUGCUCUGAAGACAUCCAGAACAUUUAACUAAUGAUAUACACACAAGCAUGCAUGCAUGCAUACAUACAUACAAACAUACAUAUGUACAUACAUAGGUACAUGUGUACAUGUGUACAUACCUUCGUAUACCUGUUUGAUAUUUUAGUAAAAUAUUUAAAAGAAUUGAAAGUAUCAAAGCAUUAAGACACACCAAGGUUGCGUCUUGUGGUAAUUUUCAGUGAUUUCAUCUCUCUCCCACCGCAAGAAAUCCAUACAUUUUCUUUUAAUUACAUCUCUUAUUUUUCAGAAAGAAAAGAAAACAACAAAACAAUCAAAGGAGAAAAGCAAAUGGUAAAGGAAUUAAAAUGUUGAUUUUCUAAAAAUAAAAAAGUUUUAAUUUUCACUCAGUGUGUCAAACAGCCGAGGUUACCCGUGCUAUGGAGGGCUCGGAUGUGAGGGGUUUGAUUGGUGGUGCUGCCUGGGGUCUCACAUCAACCACUCAGCACACUCUAUGGUGUUUGGCUGUUUUGCCAUUGCAUUUGAGCUUGCAUACAUG